rnacentral:rRNA from 1 species
AUGGAUCGCCUUUGCAAAAAUGGAAGGGUUACGGAAGCCCAGGAUCUCUUUGACCUGAUGGUACACAUGGGUGUGAAGCCUGACGUGUGUACUUAUAACACACUGAUGGGUGGAUACUUGUUCGUUGGUAAGAUGGAUGAAGUGAGCAAGUUACUUGACAAUAUGGUCUCAAUUGGCAUGGAACCAGAUGUUAUCACAUAUAGCAUACUGAUUGAUGGUUACUCUAAGAAUGGAAGGAUAGAUGAUGCAUUGGUUGUUUUCAGGGAAAUGUUGGACACGAAGGGUAAGCCGUCUGUUAUCAGUUUUAAUAUUAUGAUUGGUGCAUUGCUUAAAUGUGGUAGGAAGGAAGAAGCCAAAGAUUUGUUUGAUGGUAUCUGGGCCAAUGGGUUAGUGCCUGACGUUAUUACAUAUAGCUUAAUGAUACAAAAACUUAUUGAAGAAGGUUCUCUACAAGAGUCUGAUGAUCUAUUCCUUUCUACGGAGAAGAAUGGAUGUGCUGCCGACUCCCGUAGGCUAAAUGCUAUAGUUAGAAGCUUACUUCAGAAAGGGGAGAUUCCUAGGGCUGGGACUUAUCUGUCUAAAAUUGAUGAGAGGGGCUUCACCCUUGAAGCUUCCACAGCUAGCUUGUUGACUGCACUUGCUUCAGGGGGAAAAGGCCAGGAAUACAAGGAGUUACUCCCUGAAAAAUACCACUCUUUUCUGGAACAGGGCACUUUGAACUUCUAA